GAUCAUGGCUCAGGAUGAACGCUAGCUACAGGCUUAACACAUGCAAGUCGAGGGGCAGCAUGACCUAGCAAUAGGUGAUGGCGACCGGCGCACGGGUGAGUAACACGUAUCCAACCUACCGGUUAUUCCGGGAUAGCCUUUCGAAAGAAAGAUUAAUACCGGAUAGUAUAGCGAGAAGGCAUCUUCUUGUUAUUAAAGAAUUUCGAUAACCGAUGGGGAUGCGUUCCAUUAGUUUGUUGGCGGGGUAACGGCCCACCAAGACAUCGAUGGAUAGGGGUUCUGAGAGGAAGGUCCCCCCACAUUGGAACUGAGACACGGUCCAAACUCCUACGGGAGGCAGCAGUGAGGAAUAUUGGUCAAUGGACGAGAGUCUGAACCAGCCAAGUAGCGUGAAGGAUGACUGCCCUAUGGGUUGUAAACUUCUUUUAUAUGGGAAUAAAGUGAGCCACGUGUGGCUUUUUGUAUGUACCAUACGAAUAAGGAUCGGCUAACUCCGUGCCAGCAGCCGC
rnacentral:rRNA from 1 species